AACGAACGCUGGCGGCAGGCCUAACACAUGCAAGUCGAACGCUGUAGCAAUACAGAGUGGCAGACGGGUGAGUAACGCGUGGGAACCUUCCCAAUGGUGCGGAAUAGCUCAGGGAAACUUGAGGUAAUACCGCAUAAGCCCUUAGGGGGAAAGAUUUAUCGCCAUUGGAUGGGCCCGCGUCGGAUUAGCUAGUUGGUGAGGUAAUGGCUCACCAAGGCAACGAUCCGUAGCUGGUUUGAGAGAAUGGCCAGCCACACUGGGACUGAGACACGGCCCAGCCUCCUACGGGAGGCAGCAGUGGGGAAUUUUGGACAAUGGGCGCAAGCCUGCUCCAGCCAUGCCGCGUGAGUGACGAAGGCCUUAGGGUUGUAAAGCUCUUUUGCCGGGGACGAUAAUGACGGUACCCGGAGAAUAAGUCCCGGCUAACUUCGUGCCAGCCGCCGCAGUAAUAC
rnacentral:rRNA from 1 species